GAAUUUUCUCUACUUCCGGCUAACAUUUCGGAAAAUGAUUUUUUCUAGUUUUUAGUUCAUUUUAACGUUUAAAGUACUAAGAUGAUGAAUGAAUUGACACCUACUGAGAAUGCAUCACCAUCCCUGGAUUCUGAUGAACUCAUGGGAACAGAAACUGAGACAGAUGGUAAUGAAAGUCAGAAAGACAUUGACUCUCGAUCCAAAAUAAAAAAUAAACCAUCCAAAGCUAGUGCCAUAUCAGAACAAUAUAAAAACAUGAAAAGUUUACCUGGUAAACUCCUUGUUGAUUUUAAUAGUUUCGAUGGAGUUUGGUAUCAUCACCCUGUGUUCAAAAAAUAUUGGGAACAAUAUCACAUGUGCAUGGAAUGGCAGAAAAAACAUGCAGAAACAUACAACAAUAUCAUUAAAAAGCAAUGGUCUGAUUGGAUGGCACAGACGAGUCAAGUGUCAAAGUCAUACACGCAAGUCUAUAGAAAUGCUGUACCUCAAACAAACAACAAAACAUUGGGAGAGAAUAAUAAGAGGACACAACGUAGGAAAAGAAAAGGAAAAAAGAAGAGAAGACGUAAAGAAGAAAUGAGCCCCGUGGCUAGUAGUUCCAUGGUAGAUAGUAGUGAUUAUGAAUAUGACACAGAAGAACAAAUUUAUGAAAUCACAGAAGAAUUGAAAUCAUUUUUUGAGACUACAAAGCUUCAUAAAGAAUCAAGAAGGAAAGAAAAGGCUGCAAUGAGGAAAUCUGAAAAGGAAGAACCAAAUGAAUAUGUUAACAUAGAAAAAGCAACAAUGAAAUCUCAACAUGCCACAACUUCAGCACCCACAGAAAGACCUGGAGCAAGACGUACCUCUGAAAUGCGACAACUUUACGGGAAGAGUGCAGCAAUGAUUCAUGGGAUGGAAACAGCCAUCCAACUGACAUAUGAUAGAAACUGUGAUAUAGUUCAGCCAAAACUUUGGCCAAACAUGCCAUUAAAUAUAAGUUUCUCAACUUAAUGUAGGAUUCAGUUUUGGCUAUUUUAAAUGUUUCAAUAAAAAUUGUAACAUA
rnacentral:misc_RNA from 1 species